GCUAGGACAUUCAAAUCUCAACCAACAACAUCCAAAAAAGCUUGUAGUUAGUGAUGUUCAAGCACAUUUUCGUUCGAUUUUCAAAGAAUUUCAAUCUCAAAAAUUGUAAAGGUAAGUAAACUACUUGUUUUAUGCAUUUUCGAGCCGAUUUAUUGUCAAAUUUGAGUUCUUAGCUCGUUCCUUCAUCAAGUUACAUGCAUGUGUUAAAUUUGCUCAAGUUAGGGUUUUGGAGAUGCUAAUUCGAAGCUAAGUUUCAGCUAAUUGUUCGUAAAACUAUCUUGAUCUAUUAUCAACUUAAUUUUGAUGAGAUUUUAAGAGAAUUUUUGAUAUUUUUGGCGUAAUUUUGGUUUAUAGGUAGCUCGUGUCUCUGUUGGAGUGGUUUAUGGCAACAUGAAGCUCAAAGUUCUGAAGCUCGAUUGAAGUUGGGGAUGACCUAGAUGUUUGCUACAACAUGCACACAAGAGCUCAAAAAGAGUGCAAGAGAGAACUUUGAACCUAUACAAGACGGAUCACCAACAAUGACUCAACUGUUUGAAAAUCCAGAAGUGUUGAAGCAAAUUGAUGAGAUCGAGAAGCUACUACAAACAAUUGAGAAAGCAAUUGCAGACAUGCCCUCAUUUGACUUGGGUAUACUUGGGCUCCACGACAUACCACAACCACAAAACACAACAACCUCAAAUUCCCACCAAGCAAGCAGAUGAAGCUAAUCAAACGUUUUGCAGGAGAUCGAAAAGACACCAACACGUACCAAACACAACCAUUGUAGUUUUGCAAAAGUUGCGAAAACCAUCUCCACUGAAGCAAAACUCUCAUGUGAAGGAAUCCGGACCAUUGUAGUAGAACUUUAUGUAAUUAGUAGAAGUACAAACAAAACAAUUACCACUGGUUUGUUAUAUGCAAUAUUAUGCUAGAGCGGUACUGAACUUUAUGUUCUAUUUACAAGUUAUGUUGAUUAGUAAGUUUUAUGUUCUUAAGUGACUAUUAUAUGUCAAUUAGAGACCAUGAUAUGCCAAUUAGUCACUAUUUUAUGUUGACUUUAGAUUUCUUCAA